rnacentral:rRNA from 1 species
ACGUAGGAGGCGAGCGUUAUCCGGAAUUACUGGGCGUAAAGCGUGCGCAGGCGGUUCGUGAAGUCCGAUGUGAAAGCCCUGGGCUCAACCCGGGAAUGGCAUUGGAAACUGGCGGGCUAGAGUGUGGCAGAGGGGGGUGGAAUUCCUGGUGUAGCAGUGAAAUGCGUAGAGAUCAGGAGGAACACCGAUGGCGAAGGCAGCCCCCUGGGCUGACACUGA